GGCUGAAAUUCGCCUUUAUGAAGCCGGAAUUGCUAGUAAUGGCAGGUCAGCAUACUGCCGUGAAUACGUUCCCGGGCCUUGUACACACCGCCCGUCACACCAUGAGAGUUGGAAAUACCCGAAGCCUGUGAGCUGACCGUAAGGGGGCAGCAGUCGAAGGUAGAGCCAAUGAUUGGGGUGAAGUCGUAACAAGGUACC
rnacentral:rRNA from 1 species